UGUAAACCCUGAUUGAUGCUGCAAUAGAAAUAUUAAAUAAUAUUAAUCAGAUCUUCCCCUCUCUUUCAGAUGUAAGUAACCUGACUAAAUUGGGGAUCUGCAAAAAGAAUUUAAAAGAAAAAAUCCAGCAACAAACCUAACGUUGCAAUAAUUUACACUCCUUUUUUACGUCUUGAUUUUAAAGUGACAGAUGUGUCGAAUCCCCAAGUAUGAGUUUGAGUGAUGCUUCCACCCAAAAGAGUUGUGAGACCACUCUGAAAGUGUUGCAAGUAUGCCAUAUGCGUGGAAAAAGAUGGAUAUGCCAGCUUUUGCCUGGAUUCUACUGAUGAUUCAUGUUUGUCCCGGGGAAUAGUCUCACAGCAUUGUCUGCUUAAAGUUUUUCUGUGAGAUAUGUUUACCAGGACUUGAUUUUCUACAAUGGUUUAUGCAGAAUCUCAUUUAGUUUGAAGAAUAUCUCUGUACCGUAAAAAGAUAACAUUUCAGUCAUUGAUUUUGCUAUAUGUAUUAAAUAUAAUUGUAUAUUUUUUAAAUUCAUAAAAAUAAUUAAGCUCUUUAUUUUCCGGCACGGUUGUCAGUUAUUAAUAUAACUGAAGUCUUUGAUUGGAUUCUGAUCCACUGUAGAAUUUUAAAGUAACAUGAUUUAUAUUUUUUUAUCUAGAAAAAUGCUUUUAUUUUACAGCUGACUAAGCAGACAAUAGCAUAGCUGCCAACUGUUCAGAAUUUUUCGGAUUUGUUCCUAAUUUUUAAAUCCAAUCUGAUAUUUUUAUAAAAAUUCUGAAUUUUCAUAAAAUUUUUGAUUUUAAACCAAUCCUUUUUUCUGAUCGCCACAAGCAUGCAUCCUGUGAUUAUUGUGCUAAAGUAAUUUUUAGUAGCUUUUUAUUGGAAAAUAUUAUUCCAAUAGCUGUCUGUUGCUGAUUAUUUCACUAAAUUAUUAUUUUUGGAAA